AAUUCACACAGCAGGUAACAUCUGAGCUAACAUGUGAAUGACUGAAACUGAUUGCUUAAUGAUAAAGAAUAAAGGAAAGAGAGAAAGACAGGAAAUGUGAUCACAGCCAAAUAUAUUUGACCUGCCAUCACCUGUCAGGAAGUAAGAGUGAGGUCAGCAAAACAGUAACUAUGUGCUGAGACUUGAUAUAAGAGAAGCAUUUGUUGGGAAUAAUUGGGUUACAUAUUCACUCACUCUUUCUUGAUUCUGAAAGAGCCCUCUAAGUGAGCAAGCAGAAGGCUGGCAGUUAAAUUCUUACUUUUGUUGUUGUUGUAAGAUAUUUAUAAAAUCUGUAACAAAAUAGAUUUUUCUCUCAAGAAGCACAUUCUUCUGAGUCAGAGAUAAGGUGGUUUGCCGUCUUACUUUGGAGGCCCUGCCCCCCAGUCUCCCAGCAUACCAACAAAUCUCUCCACAUCUGAUACAUUGGUUGAAUCAUAAAUAAAAAUAGCAGUGAAAGGAUAAACAUUUCUCUUUCUGAAUAUUAAUCAUGACUAACCAGAAGUCAUUUCACUUUUUAAAAAAACAUAGGAAAAAAUUCUUUCUUGACAAUUCAGUUGCUCAUGCUCACAUGCAUAUCAUUUCCAAGAGCAUUACAAGAGCCAGAGCAGUUCGUAUAAGACUCAGAGGAGAGAUUAGCAGCACUCCAUUCUGGGAAAAUCGCUAUGGCGAUCACUUGUCACUCCAUAUAAAUCCUAUUGGUCCACUUGUCCCCAUUUCAGCUCGGACUUAACUUACACUUGAGAAAUCACUCUUUAUCCUUUCCUCUUCUAGAAUUCACUUUUUUCAUCUGACUGGCUGCCAAUUUACCCUGACUAUCCUAUUACCCUCCUUCAGGCUCUCCUUCAUUCUCUUCCCUAAAGGCAAAAUAAAUUUUUUUUAGUAUUUGUAUAUAAAACUAAAAUAUCCAGAGCACCUAUACUGUUGUAUUGAACAGAAUGCUUCAUAUGAGACAAAGCCUAAGCAAGGUACUCAAGACGGACUAGAAUGAGUAAAACAUCACUGGAUCGCUCCUAAAAAGGUUCUUAUCUAUAGAAUAUUUAGAAAUGUUAUAAUUAAACUUGGCAAGAGUCAUCCUGCCCAAGGUUUGUAUUUGGAUUUUGAAAUAAAAUUCUAACCACAGUUCCCAUUAUGACUCAGCAGUUACAAACCCAACAAGUACCAUGAGGUGAGGGUUCGAUCCCUGGCCUCACUCAGUGGGUUAAAUAUCUGGCAUUGCCAUGAGCUGUGGUGUAGGUAGCAGAUGCAGCUUGGAUAUGGUAUUGCAGUGGCUGUGGUGUAGGCCAGCGGUUGCAGCUCCAAUUCAGGCCCUAGCCUGGGAACCACCAUAUGCUCCAAAUGUGGCUCUAAAACAAAACAAAACAAAACAGAACAAAGAAACCAAACCUGUAACCUAGAUAUUAUCUUAGGAAAGAGAUGUUGUCUUUUUCAUUUCCAAUAUUUUUGGCUCCACCAUUUUCUGUCUUUUUGUAUCUUUUUGAAAAUAUUUAUCUUGCUAUACAGUUACCCAUAUCCACAGGUUCUACAUUCAUGAUUCAACCAAUUAGGAGCCACAAAUAUUUGGCAAAAGAAUCCAGGUAGUUCAAAAGGCAAAGCUAUUAUCACAGCAUUUACAUUGUAUUUAUAACUAUUUACACAGCAAUUACAUUGUAUUAGGUAUUAUAAGUACUCUAGAGAUUAUUUAAAAUAUAUGAGAGGAUUAAGUUCCCAUUGUGGCUCAGCCAUAACAAACCCAACUAGUAUCCAUGAGGACCAGAGUUUGAUCCCUGGCCCCAUCAGUGCAUUAAGGAUCCACCAUUGCCCUGAGUUGUGGUGUGGGUUGCAAACUCAACUCAGAUCUGGCUUUGCUGUGACUGUGGUGUAGGCUGGCAGCUGCAGCUCCAAUUCAAUCUGGUAACUUCCACAGCCGUGGGUGUGGUCCUAAAAAAAAUUAAAUAAAGACAAAAAUAAAUAAAUAAAUAAAUUUUAUGAGAGGAUGUGCAUAGGUUGUAUGCAAAUACUCUGCCAUGUUAUGUAAGGGACUUAAUCAUCAAUGGAUUUUCGUAUCACCAAGGGUCCUGGAAUUGAUCCCCUGUGGAUACCAAAGGAGAAUUAUACUCUAAAAACGAUUCAUUUUUUGGCUGUCAUUUGUCAGCUCCUCUCUCAUGUGACUGUAUGACUACCCUAUAUAUCUAUACAUUAAUUCUUCAUGAAACUUUGACCUUUAAAAUAAUUCUGUGAUUAAAAAAAAAAACAGACCUCCACAUUCAGCACCAAGAUGAAUAUUGGAUGUAUAAUGAGAUCUCAGUGUCAGUUGGAUGAAUGAAUGAAUGAAUGAAUGAAAAUUAACAGCCAGGAAUGCUAAGACCUAUGACAAAGUGGAGUUGUAGUAGAUCCUCUUUUUAUGUCCUUUAUGUAUUUCUACAUAUAUGUUUUUUGGAGUGGGGAGCGGAUUGUUUGUCUGUAAAGAAACUACAAAAAGUGUUUUGACUAUGGAGUUCCCAUCGUGGCUCAGGGGUCAACGAAUCUGACUAGGAACCAUGAGGUUGCAGGUUCGAUCCCUGGCCUUGCAGGGUUCAGUGGGUUAAGGAUUCAGUGUUGCUGUGAGCUGUGGUGUAGGUCGCAGACACGGCUCGAAUCCCGAGUUGCUGUGGCUGUGGUGUAAGCCAGCAGCUACAGCUCCGAUUAGACCCCUAGCCUGGGAACCUCCAUAUGCCAUGGGUAUGCCCUAGGGGGAAAAAAAAGACAGAAGUAUUUUGACUAAUGCCUUAGUAAGUUUGCUGAAUACAACUUUACAUUUGAAAUACAAUUGCCACUGCCUUCUUUACUCUUUUUAAAAAUGAAUCCCUUUGAAAUAGAUGAGCAGCAUUCUGCACAGCCUCCUUGUGAAAGAUGGUCUUUUCCUAAAUUUCUGCAACAAAAAGUUUCCUGCACUAGUUUGCCACAGAUAACCCUAAUUCCACCUUGCAGUCAAGGAAUAAUCCCCUGAUCAAAAUAUUAAGAGGAGUGGCACUAGCUUCCAUUAUCAGGUCUUAACAGCUUAGCCUGGAUCUAUUCAUCAUAACCUGGGAUUUCCUUCCAACCAAGGACACAGGAGACAUAAACUUUAGUGGGUUGACAUGUGAAAAGAUAGAUUGAGUUUUAUGUAUUUAGGUACAAACAAGCCAGUGUAUUAGACUUGAAGUGAGGACUGGGUGUGGAAAUGCAAACUCAAAUUUAUUUAGAACAGAGGAUGGAUGGGUUGGGUGACCUGAAGAGUGAAAAAGUCUUAAAAGCGGUUGUUCAAACAGAAAGAGGGAACUAUGAAGAUACCCAUUUUGUCUAGGGCUGAACAUAAACACUUUGGUAAGGUGAAUUACACUUGUACUGUACAUAUUAAUAAGAUAAAUAUGUUCUCACCUGCAAAUGAUAGCUUGUUGAAAAUGAAUAAUAUCUUCUUCUAGGCAAUAAUUUCUACUGAUUUACUAUUAAGACAGCAUUCCUGAGUAGGCAUGAUUUGUAUCCUACAUGACAGAUAAUCUUUCCUUUCUGUCUCUGAGAAUAUACAGAGCACUCUUUACAAAGACAGAGUCAAAUAGAGCAGGACUGACUUCUGAAAUCUUUGAGUUCUCGGCUAAUAUUUAGUUCUUCCUUAACUGGAAAAACUGUCCCCUUUUUUUCAAUUCAGGGGUUUUUUCUUAAUAUUUUCUACCCUCUUGAAAUAAAGAAGCCUUUUAAACUAUGUUAGAAAGGAAAUUUUAACUCUAUUAUGAAACUUUUGCCGUAACCCAGAUGUCAAAUGGCAGGUAUUUAUUGAUCAUCUAAGUGUAUCCCUGGGCAUUGGCUAAACCACAAGAUUUUGUAAUCUACUAGUGUGAAGUAAACCAAAAAUGAAGACCAGAGGAAGUCUAUUUACCUUAGACUCUUUAAUUGUAGAAUAACUAUGGAAGGGAAGAGCUCUCAAAAGAAAUUCCUCUUUAAAGUACACAUGAUAGAUCUUUUUAAUGAUGUUAUGAUUCUUACCUGUGAGUCCCUUAUGCUGUUUGGUUCUAUAGUUCUGUUCCACUUUGGCCCUAAAGGUUUCCUUAUCUUUUUCAGUGUCCUGAUGUACACACCACUUUAAACAUAAUCAGACUAUUACUGCCCUGACUUUUCAUGACUUGUCCUCUCUCCUUGGUAUCACCUCCACUUGGUAUCACCUUAUUUUCCCCAUGCCCCAACACAUGUUUUCUCCUUGAGCUCAUUUAUGUGUUUCCUGGCUAAUGUCCCCAGGGCUCUGUCUUUUGACUAAUGACAUUUAAACUCAAAGCCAAGAAGUCAAUAAGGUUAGAAGUUCCUCUUUCAAAUCUUCCUCCAUCCUUUUUUCUUCAGAUUGGGCUGUACUUUUUCCACAAUUUAUUCUAAAUUAAACUUCUUUUCAAGCAUGGAUUUUAUAAGAAUUCCUCAUUUCCUAAAUCUGCUAUUUCCCAAAUCCUUAAGCCAAGUGUUCCUUGUCAGUUCAUUGAUUCUGGCUUAAGAGUAGAGAAAAAGAAAAGUAGAGUAGUACUUGUUCUACUCUCUCACUUUGUGAAAAAAGACAUAUCCUGUGCCAGAUUUUUUUUUUAAACUGUUUCUACCGAUAAAAGCUUAUAAGGAUUCUGAAGUUAGAAUUAUGUCACAUCAGAAGGUGCCAUCAGUGCAUUUUUGAGAUACUUAUAUAUGCUAGAGAUUUCCCUCAUCACCAUUCACAAUGAAAAUAAUUUGUUAUUAAAGACCAAAUCUGGAGUUCCCACUGUGGCUCAGAGGAAGCAAAUCCAACUAGUAUCCAUGAGGAUUCGGGUUCUAUCCUUCGCCAUGCUCCACUGGAUUAAGGAUCUGGCAUUGCAGUGAGCUGAGGUGUAGGUCACAGAUGCAGCUCGGAUCAUGAGUUGAUGUGGCUGUGGUGUAGGCCGGCAGAUGUAG
rnacentral:lncRNA from 1 species